rnacentral:rRNA from 1 species
GGAGCAGCCCAGAGCCUGAAUCAGUGUGUGUGUUAGUGGAAGCGUCUGGAAAGGCGUGCGAUACAGGGUGACAGCCCCGUACACAAAAAUGCACAUAUUGUGAGCUUGAUGAGUAGGGCGGGACACGUGGUAUCCUGUCUGAAUAUGGGGGGACCAUCCUCCAAGGCUAAAUACUCCUGACUGACCGAUAGUGAACCAGUACCGUGAGGGAAAGGCGAAAAGAACCCCGGCGAGGGGAGUGAAAAAGAACCUGAAACCGUGUACGUACAAGCAGUGGGAGCACGCUUAGGCGUGUGACUGCGUACCUUUUGUAUAAUGGGUCAGCGACUUAUAUUCUGUAGCAAGGUUAACCGAAUAGGGGAGCCGAAGGGAAACCGAGUCUUAACUGGGCGUUAAGUUGCAGGGUAUAGACCCGAAACCCGGUGAUCUAGCCAUGGGCAGGUUGAAGGUUGGGUAACACUAACUGGAGGACCGAACCGACUAAUGUUGAAAAAUUAGCGGAUGACUUGUGGCUGGGGGUGAAAGGCCAAUCAAACCGGGAGAUAGCUGGUUCUCCCCGAAAGCUAUUUAGGUAGCGCCUCGUGAAUUCAUCUCCGGGGGUAGAGCACUGUUUCGGCAAGGGGGUCAUCCCGACUUAC